rnacentral:rRNA from 1 species
UACGGGGGGUGCGAGCGUUGUCCGGAAUCACUGGGCGUAAAGGGCGCGUAGGUGGUUUGAUAAGGGUGUGGUGAAAGUCCGGGGCUCAGCCCCGGAUCUGCCGUGCCGACUGUCAAACUCGAGGACUGUAGAGGCAGACGGAAUUCCGGGUGUAGCGGUGGAAUGCGUAGAGAUCCGGAGGAAGACCGGUGGCGAAGGCGGUCUGCUGGGCAGUUUCUGACACUGAGGCGCGACAGCGUGGGGAGCAAACAGGG